CGCGUGCUAGCUAGGUAUAUAAAAAUAACAAGAUAAUAUGAUGCAAAAUGCCUACGUUUAAUCUACAUUUUAGCGACUAUAGGUUGCCGCAACAACUACAGCUAACAAUUGUAUACUCUACUUGGCAAUGGAUUAAUAGCUAUACGAAACUAAGAAAAAAGAUAAACUAAAUAAGGAUCGGGGUUUCCGAUUCCGCACAAACUGAACACAAGGGUGCCAAUCGGAACUUACUAAUGCUCAUCUUCCUUACACUUUAGAAAAAUUAAGCAUUCUAAACAAUCCUGUAAUUUGACGGUGUCAAUUACAAGUCAUUUUUUAAAUGAAAGAUGCGAUUACUCCGAAGAUAAGUCAGAAAUACCAAAUAGCUAUCUGACACAUUUUCCAUCACAUAAAUUUCCUGGUUUGAGCAUGUGUGGAAUGUCGGAUAAUGUAGCUUAAGGCAAAGGUCGCGAUAAGGGCCUAAAUAAGCGUGACUGGAAGCAACAUCACGUUCAUUUGCUGACUUAUUAGCCAGCAUAUUUUUUUCAUCAGUCAGCGCCUUCUUUUUCUCAAAGAAGAUACGUUGGUGAGUGAGUUUCCCGAUUUCCGUAGUUCCCACGUGAAAUUUAUUUCUGGACGAAGAGAACGAAGACAUCGAACUUGAGAGCAAUUCCACGCAAGUGUGAUUCCAAAACUCGAUCUGAUUCAGUGACGAGGACAACGUUCAAGAAUUUCAGCGGAUAAAGGGACUAUUAAUCUAU